rnacentral:rRNA from 1 species
AUUGAACGCUGGCGGCCGGCUUAACACAUGCAAGUAGAGCGAGCGGCGGACGGGUGAGUAAUGUCUGGGAAACUGCCUGAGGGAGGGGGAUAACUACUGGAGACGGUAGCUAAUACCGCAUACCAUCAGAGGUGCCCAGAUGGGAUUAGCUAGUAGGUGGGGUAAUGGCUAACCUAGGCGACGAUCCCUAGCUGGUCUGCGAGGAUGACCAGCAACACUGGAACUGAGACAAGGUCCAGACUCCGACGGGAGGCAGCAGUGGGGAAUAUUGCACAAUGGGCGCAAGCCUGAGGCAGCCAUGCCGCGUGUGUGAAGAAGGCCUUCGGGUUGUAAAGCACUUUCAGCGAGGAGGCGUUACUCGCAGAAGAAGCACCGGCUAACGCCGUGCCAGCAGCCGCGGUAAUUC